rnacentral:rRNA from 1 species
UACGUAGGAGACGAGCGUUGUCCGGAGUUACUGGGCGUAAAGGGUGCGCAGGCGGCCUUGCGCGUCGCGAGUGAAAUCUCCCGGCUCAACUGGGAGGGUGGUCGCGAGACGGCAGGGCUUGAGGCUCGGUGAGGGGCGUGGAAUUCCGGGUGGAGCGGUGAAAUGCGUAGAUAUCGCUUGGAACGCCAAAGGUGAAAACAGGUUGCUGGGGUUGUGCCGACGCUGAGACACGAAAGCCAGGGGAGCAAACGGG